rnacentral:lncRNA from 1 species
CACAAAAGCUCAUCCGUAGCCUAAACCUACCACCACACCUGUUAUCUCAAGAUAUCAGUCUGCUCCGUGGCCGUGCAGUCGUGUAUCCAACCAAGAAAAGCUGCCAAACCCUACUGAAUGUUCCGUAGGUUGGCACAUAUAUGCAUAUAAAGUAUAUAUGACACUACUACAGUCUACUUGGUUGGGUCUCUUAGCUUGAGGCAUGUAUUCAUGCAUGUUGGGUUGUUGGGACACAUACAGCGCUGCAGCGGCGUCCUGAGUCACCAUUGUUCAAACAGGAAGCAUAGGACGAAUGGAAUCGCCGUGCCCAGUGCCAGCAAUCAGGCAGCUAGCUUGUUCAAACCGGCAGGGUCCUACGACGUGCCAUUGUUUGCUUUUGUUUGGCAUGCAUCAAUGCAUGGCAUGGCCCAUGAACCCCGUCUUGCAAGUUCGAUUCGUCUCUGCUGGCCUGGCUAGCUAGCUCCCUGCAGACGACCACAUACAAUGCAAUCAUGGAUGAAGGAGAUCGAUAUCAUGGUCAGGGACAACCUGCGUCUAAGGGCUCGUUUGGUGCCGCUCCAUCCAGCUCCGGCUCCUGCACUGUGCGUGGUAGGGGUGUCAGAGGAGCUGAAGCUGGUGGAGCCAAAAUUUGUGGCUCCACAAGCUCCUUGCCGGUUUGUGAGGGAGAGGAGAAGGAAAGAGAAAAUAGGUUGAAGAGAAAAUGGUGGUGACCGCUGGAGGAAGAAGAGAAGGCGGGUGGUCAUCGGGUUUCUUCGUGACGACAAGCUAACAGAGGCAACUUCGCUUUACGUGGCCACCGUGCAGCCAAAAUAAUUGCAAGGCUAGAAACAAAGGU